rnacentral:rRNA from 1 species
UUAUAGCAAAGAGGAUACACCUGUUCCCAUUCCGAACACAGAAGUUAAGCUCUUUAGCGCCGAUGGUACUUGGUGGGAAGCCGCCUGGGAGAGUAGGACGUA